UUUUAUUUUUAUAUUAUUUAUUUAUUCUUCCUUAGUUUCUUGAGAUUAUCAUCCGCUGAGGGUGGAAGGGGAGUGAGCAGACACACUCAGGAGGUGUCUUGAGAUUAUCAUCCGCUGAGGGUGGAAGGGGAUAGAGCAGGCACUCGGCAGGUGUCUUGAGAUUAUCAUCCGCUGAGGGUAGAGCUGAGGGUGGAAGGGGAGUGAGCAGACACUCGGGAGGUGUCUUGAGAUUAUCAUCCGCUGAGGGUGGAAGGGGAUAGAGCAGGCACUCGGCAGGUGUCUUGAGAUUAUCAUCCGCUGAGGGUAGAGCUGAGGGUGGAAGGGGAGUGAGCAGACACUCGGGAGGUGUCUUGAGAUUAUCAUCCGCUGAGGGUGGAAGGGGAUAGAGCACACACUCGGAAGGUGUCUUGAGG
rnacentral:lncRNA from 10 species